rnacentral:rRNA from 1 species
UUAAGCUAAUAAGAGCGCAGGGCGAAUGCCUUGGCAUUGGGAGCCGAUGAAGGACGUGAUUAACUGCGAUAAGCUGUGGUGAGUGGUAAGUACACUUUGACCCGCAGAUUUCCGAAUGGAGCAAUCCGCAUGAGAAACCUCAUGCAUCGUAUACUGAAUACAUAGGUAUACGAGGGGAACCGCCUGAACUGAAACAUCUAAGUAGGGCGAGGAAAAGAAAUCAACCGAGAUUUUGUGAGUAGUGGCGAGCGAAAGCGAAAGAGGCCAAACCGAGAGUGGAAACACUUUCGGGGUACGGACUGCAUUUAGCAUCAACGAGACUUAGCAGAAAUGUAUGGGAAGGCAUACCGUAGAAGGUGAAAGUCCUGUAAGUGACAAGUUGAGUUGGCGAGCAGUAUCCAGAGUACCGCCGGACACGUGAAACCCGGUGGGAAGACGGGGGGACCAUCCUCCAAGCCUAAAUACUACCCAAUGACCGAUAGCGAAGAGUACUGUGAAGGAAAGGUGAAAAGAACCCCGGGAGGGGAGUGAAAGAGAACCUGAAACCCUGUGCUUACAAGCACCUAGAGCACAUCAAAGUGUGAUAGGGUACCUUUUGUAGAAUGGUCCGGCGAGUUAUCGUAUGCAGCAAGGUUAAGGUCUUCAGGACUGUAGCCGAAGCGAGAGCGAGUCUGAAUAGGGCGACAAGUUGUAUGCGAUAGACCCGAAACCGAGUGACCUAGCCAUGUCCAGGUUGAAGUGGAGGUAAAACUCCAUGGAGGACCGAACCGACCUCCGUUGAAAAGGCGGCGGAUGAGGUGUGGCUAGCGGAGAAAUUCCAAUCGAACUCGGAUAUAGCUGGUUCUCCCCGAAAUAGCUUUAGGGCUAGCGUUGUGAUAGAUUACCGAAGGUAAAGCACUGAAUGGGCUAGGGGCCGAGAGGUUACUGAACCCUAUCAAACUAAGAAUGUCGGAUAAUUGUUUCACAGCAGUCAGACUGUGUGAGAUAAGUCUCACAGUCAAAAGGGAAACAGCCCAGACCCACAGCUAAGGUCCCAAAAUAGAUUUAAGUGGAAAAGGAUGUGGAAUUGCUUAGACAACCAGGAUGUUGGCUUAGAAGCAGCCACUCAUUAAAAGAGUGCGUAAUAGCUCACUGGUCGAGUGAUUCUGCGCCGAAAAUUCAACGGGGCUAAAAUUUAUACCGAAGCUUGGGCUUGACAGUAAUGUCAGGGGUAGGGGAGCGUCGUAUGAGGAGUGAAGUCAUAGCGGAAGCGGUGGUGGACUUCAUACGAGUGAGAAUGCCGGAAUGAGUAGCGAGAAUUAUGUGAGAAUCAUAAUGGCCGAAAGUCUAAGGUUUUAGGAGGCAGGUUCGUCCGCUCCUAGUAAGCCGGGAGCUAAGGUAAGGCCGAAAGGCGUAGCCGAUGCACAUACUGUUGAAAAUCAGUAGCCUCCGAAAGAUUUAAGCAUGGGGACACUUUUGAAGCGAUUAGCCAGGCGUUGGUUGCCCUGGUCGAAAGGUAGCUGCUUCGGCGGUAAGUAAUCGUGGAAGAAGGCGAGAAAAGCCAUGUGUAUAUCUUAGGAGCCCGUACCGCAAACCGACACAGGUAGACAGGAAGAGGAUUCUAAGGCCAACGGGAGAAGGGUUGUUAAGGAACUCGGCAAGUUGACCCCGUAACUUAGGGAGAAGGGGUGCUUGUUAAAAGCAAGCCGCAGAGAAUAGGCCCAAGCGACUGUUUAGCAAAAACACAGCUCUAUGCUAAAUCGAAAGAUGACGUAUAUGGGGUGACACCUGCCCGGUGCUGGAAGGUUAAGAGGAGAUGUGAGAGCAUCGAAUUGAAGCCCCAGUAAACGGCGGCCGUAACUAUAACGGUCCUAAGGUAGCGAAAUUCCUUGUCAGGUAAGUUCUGACCCGCACGAAUGG